rnacentral:misc_RNA from 1 species
GUGGUGCAGGUGUCGCUCCGCCUCCGCUCGGCAUACGAAACGACAGUUGGGUGAAAUCGUGGCAAAGUUGCAGAGAUUUGCACCCUCUGGGCUUCGGAUAUGGAUUACUUUCGCGUCGAUAUGACUUUUCGAAAUGCGUUUCGUCAAAGAAAUAUCGUAGAUGAGUCGAUAUGAUUUUUCGUAAAGAAGUCCCGAUAUCUGCCGACCGAGGGCGGUAGUGUAGCAUACGUUUAAUCGACCCUCAGUCGAGAGGAAGUGGGCAGCUACGUUAUCGACGCCAAACCAUGUAGACGCACAGUGUUUGGCCUCCGUCCUUUCGGCCACGUGUUCUUGCACGAGGUCUUCUCGUUUGAACUCUGACCUCACCGAGUGUAGUCGAUGGACCCACCCCGGUAACUUAAAGGAACCAGCCUCGUGUUGGUCGAACGUGUCGCGAGGUGUCCAGGUGGGAGGGGCCACUGUGAUAGACAGGUGUAGCCUUCCAUGUCCCGAGCCAGCAUGCGUGGCGUCGUGCCCCUUCCCUAUCCCCCACCUCCUCCCGGUUUAGCCCGGGGGGUGACAAACGCCACUAGUGUCUCACGUCCCAUUCUGUGUACCUUGCUAGGAGAUGGAGGCGACGCAACCACCAGCACCAGUGCACCGCCAGCGACCAGCACGGACCCAGGACCAGGGUGUGGGGUAUGUGCACGUGCGGUCACCAGCGUCUCAGCUGACGGCCGCCUCAUGAACUCGGGAGACCAAUCAGACAUCAGGUUGGGACAGCGUGGAACCCAGACCACGACGUUUCUCAUGGAUGUGGCGAUCAGGUGUACAACUCCAAAUUGUUCCUGUGAUUGUUUUACGCCUGGCAAGUCGCAAUUGAGAACGUGUGAUACAUGUAAACACGGUUGGGUAUCGCAUGGC